UUUUGCGGUAAAAUGGCUGAGGUAUAGGCAAUAAAUUGUAAAUUUAUAAACGAAUUUAAAUUCUUUUACCA
rnacentral:tRNA from 1 species